GUCUCAAAUCACCUCGCACUCUGCGGAGACAGCACCCAGGGAUCUCUUCCCCAGGCAGCGCAGCACGGCCUCGGCAGGAAGCUGAACAGCGCCCAGCAGCUAAAAUCAAGUGUUUCCGAGCAGAGGGUAGCGAGCUGGGUGCUCUCAGAUUUCCAGGUUUCUGCAUGUUUCCCAUGAAUUCUGUAGAUGAGUAGCUCAAGAGUUAAAGAAGCAGCAUCAUCCUCUGAAAGCAGUGAGACAACAGCCAGGUGGUGAUGCCUGCUCGCAGGAGCGGUCAGUGCUCUUAGAGAGGAAAGAAUUUUUCUGUUUGUGUGAAAAUGAAGAGAACGAUGCCUGCAGCCAAACCUCCAAUCUAGCAACUAUUAGCUUUCCAAAAUUCAGAGCACCAUUAUCAAAUCCAUGACACUAACAACAUGUAUGGACCAUCAUCAUUCAGAUUUAAUUGGGCCAGAGGCUGCUCUAACUCAUCAGCUGAAAUAUACUUCUUCAAGAAGCUUGGCCAUGGAGACUACCAUUUAAUAAAUAUCUUCAAUUUCCCAGCAGCUUUGCCUUGUCUUGAGCAUGCACAAUGGGAAAGGAAAGGCCCAGGAGUUACCAACUGCUCAGUAAAGGAGAAAGAACAUUUCUGUGUCUUCCAUGGAACAGUGCAACAACAAAGAAGAAAAGCAUGUGUUGUAUUUAUUAUUAACCAGGACAACAAAAGGUGAGGAAGCCCCAAGAUUAACAGAAACAAAAAAAAAUUAUCUGACAUGUGAUGGUCACAAUAACUACAUGGAAAAAACCCCACCAUGUAUUUCAAUUCCAGUUAAAUAAAAGCCUGUUUCUGCC
rnacentral:lncRNA from 1 species